AUUGAACGCUGGCGGCAGGCUUAACACAUGCAAGUCGAACGAGUGGCGGACGGGUGAGUAAUGCUUGGGAAUCUGGCUUAUGGAGGGGGAUAACGACGGGAAACUGUCGCUAAUACCGCGUACCAUAGGAUGAGCCCAAGUGGGAUUAGCUAGUAGGUGGGGUAACGGCUCACCUAGGCGACGAUCCCUAGCUGGUCUGAGAGGAUGACCACCCCCACUGGAACUGAGACACGGUCCAGACUCGACCAUGACUCACCAUUUUACAAUAUUGCACAAUUGGCGCAAGCCUGAUUCAGCCAUGCCGCGUGUGUGAAGAAUUCCUUCGGGUUUUAAAGCACUUUCAGCGGGGAGGCGUUACCCGCAGAAGAAGCACCGGCUAACUCCGUGCCAGCAGCCGCGGUAAUAC
rnacentral:rRNA from 1 species